UUUAAAUAAGGGAUUGUUCUGACAUAACCCAUUGAAUUGGCCUGCUUGAUGCUGUGAAAUUGUAGUUCUGUAGUCAUGGUUGUGUCCUCUAUCUCAGGAAAAGUAGAAGUUGGGUCAGCUAACUUGUCCCCUGUGGGAUUUCCACUAGAAUAUAUGAAGGAUGUUCUUUUUUUGUUUGUUUUGUUUAACUCUGCAAAUAUAGUAGACCACAAGAAUCCAUGGAAAUCAGUGGUCCUUCAGAGAGUACCUGUCUGUAUGGAGGCACUUCAGAUGGUUGAUCUAGUCAAGUGAAUUUAACAUUGAUUGCUCAAACCAAAAUGGACAGUGUGGAUACACUCAUUUAAAAGCAGGCAUUUUGAAAUCCUUCCCAGCUGUGAUCCUGCAGCCUUCCAUUGAAUGAAGGUGCAGCUUUGUUCCUUCCAUC
rnacentral:lncRNA from 1 species